CUCUCAGAGGGCCUAGGAUGCUGAGGUCAAUGCCCCCUGCCCAGCUAGGGCCAGGUGGGAGGGGCAGGAAGAGCCUGAGAAGGCCCUUUUGGAGAUGCAGAAGCCGAGGUCAGGACUGACAAGAUGGAUCUGGGAGAGGAGCCUGGAAACCAGCUUGAAUGGAGAGGGCCUGAUGGGGGCCUCACCUGGCCUGAGACGUCCCCUUCCCACAGCUCCAGGCGUCUGCUGAGGAAUCCUCCCUCAUCAUCCUGGCCUGGAACCCAGCAUUGUGUGGAGUCCUUUGGGACCAGUUUGAGCAGAGCCUCCGGUCGAGCUACCCUCCCUACCUGCCAGCCAGACAGCACCUUGCUAGGGGAUCACCUCCCGCCUGUUCCCCUUCCUCCUGAGCUGCCUAAAGGGGAGGGAGCCGAGACCCUCGGGCGUGGCACCACAGGAGAACCCAGAGGCCACGCUCUUCCUUUUCCUGCCGGCAACAGUCCUGAGCGCCAGCUUCCCACCUCAGAGACUUUGAGAACCAGAGUCCACCCACCUGAGGGCCUCCUUGACCCUCCCUUACCCCGUGCCCAUGGGAGCCGCAGGACCACCAAGCGGAGAGGCGGUCUGCAAGGAGAUGGCCCCUCCCUACCUCCCUGCGAAGAAUAAAUUCGGGCUGCAGAUGCCCCUCGGGCUCCGCAGGGAGGAGCCUCACUCGCCACUCCAGCUUCAGGCUCUGCCUUCCUGAUCCUAACACUCUCUAC
rnacentral:lncRNA from 1 species